UCACGAUUGUUGUCGUUAUUGUUGUUACAAUUAGGCGUGCGCAACAACAACGUCGGUCGAAAAGGAAAACGGUAUAAACAACGAUAAUCGCGUUAUUAUUAAUCGUAAUAAUAUUAAUAAAAUAUUUCGCCGUCUUAUGGGAUCCGCCACGCCCCGACCGACACCAUAUACGCCCCGCCCCGGCCGUAGUAAACUCGAGCGUUC